rnacentral:rRNA from 1 species
AUUGAACGCUGGCGGCAUGCCUUACACAUGCAAGUCGAACGGCAGCACGGGUGCUUGCACCUGGUGGCGAGUGGCGAACGGGUGAGUAAUACAUCGGAACAUGUCCUGUAGUGGGGGAUAGCCCGGCGAAAGCCGGAUUAAUACCGCAUACGAUCUACGGAUGAAAGCGGGGGACCUUCGGGCCUCGCGCUAUAGGGUUGGCCGAUGGCUGAUUAGCUAGUUGGUGGGGUAAAGGCCUACCAAGGCGACGAUCAGUAGCUGGUCUGAGAGGACGACCAGCCAAAAUGGGACUGAGACACGGCCCAGACUCCUACGGGAGGCAGCAGUGGGGAAUUUUGGACAAUGGGCGAAAGCCUGAUCCAGCAAUGCCGCGUGUGUGAAGAAGGCCUUCGGGUUGUAAAGCACUUUUGUCCGGAAAGAAAUCCUUGGCCCUAAUACGGUCGGGGGAUGACGGUACCGGAAGAAUAAGCACCGGCUAACUACGUG